UACGUAGGGUGCAAGCGUUAAUCGGAAUUACUGGGCGUAAAGCGUGCGCAGGCGGUUCGCUAAGACAGAUGUGAAAUCCCCGGGCUCAACCUGGGAACUGCAUUUGUGACUGCACGGCUAGAGUGUGUCAGAGGGGGGUAGAAUUCCACGUGUAGCAGUGAAAUGCGUAGAUAUGUGGAGGAAUACCGAUGGCGAAGGCAGCCCCCUGGGAUAACACUGACGCUCAUGCACGAAAGCGUGGGGAGCAAACAGG
rnacentral:rRNA from 1 species